GUUAGGUGGCAAGCGUUGUCCGGAAUUAUUGGGCGUAAAGCGCGCGCAGGGCGGUCCUUUAAGUCUGAUGUGAAAGCCCACGGCUCAACCGUGGAGGGUCAUUGGAAACUGGGGGACUUGAGUACAGAAGAGGAAAGCGGAAUUCCAAGUGUAGCGGUGAAAUGCGUAGAGAUUUGGAGGAACACCAGUGGCGAAGGCGGCUUUCUGGUCUGUAACUGACGCUGAGGCGCGAAAGCGUGGGGAGCAAACAGGAUUAGAUACCCUGGUAGUCCACGCCGUAAACGAUGAGUGCUAAGUGUUAGGGGGUUUCCGCCCCUUAGUGCCGCAGCUAACGCAUUAAGCACUCCGCCUGGGGAGUACGGCCGCAAAGGCUG
rnacentral:rRNA from 1 species